rnacentral:rRNA from 1 species
GACGAACGCUGGCGGCGUGCUUAACACAUGCAAGUGGAGCGACGAACCGGGCUUCGGCCCGGGGCAAAGCCGCGAACGGGUGAGUAUCACGUGGGUAACCUGCCCCGAUGACCGGGAUAACCCGAGGAAACUCGGGCUAAUACUGGAUGUGCUCUCCAUCCACCAGGGUGGAGGACAAAGGAAGCUUCGGCCUUCGCAUUCGGAUGGGCCCGCGGCCCAUUAGCUUGUUGGUGAGGUAAAGGCUCACCAAGGCAACGAUGGGUAGCUGGUCUGAGAGGACGAUCAGCCACACUGGGACUGCGACACGGCCCAGACUCCUAGGGGAGGCAGCAGUGGGGAAUCUUGCGCAAUGCGCGAAAGCGUGACGCAGCAACGCCGCGUGAGGGAAGAAGGCCUUCGGGUUGUAAACCUCUUUCAGGAGGGACGAAGGUUCAGGCGCGAACAGCGUCCUGGACUGACGGUACCUCCAGAAGAAGCCCCGGCUAACUACGUGCCAGCAGCCGCCGUAACAC